rnacentral:piRNA from 1 species
UGGAUAAAGGUGAAUUUGAGAUGAGCU